UACGAAGGGGGCUAGCGUUGCUCGGAAUCACUGGGCGUAAAGCGCACGUAGGCGGGUUGCUAAGUCAGGGGUGAAAUCCUGGAGCUCAACUCCAGAACUGCCUUUGAUACUGGCGGCCUUGAGUCCGGGAGAGGUGAGUGGAACUGCGAGUGUAGAGGUGAAAUUCGUAGAUAUUCGCAAGAACACCAGUGGCGAAGGCGGCUCACUGGCCCGGUUACUGACACUGAGGUGCGAAAGCGUGGGGAGCAAACAGGA
rnacentral:rRNA from 1 species